AUGUCUGGCCCACCUGUUUUUUCUGUGUUACAGGGUAGCAAUACAACCCACAGCAUAAAAGGGCAACAAAUCUCAAUGAUUGGGAAUGGUCAUUCUUUUCAGCAAGGGGUGUAUGUCAUGGACCCUUCUUCUUUUAACCAAGGUAUUUAUGCUGAGAAGCAAAGCAGUUUCGCGGAGCGUGCCAAUAUGAUACAGUUAAAUAACUUCAUGGCAGACAAUUCUUCGCCUGCUGGAAACCGCUGCCAGAGACUUGGGUGUAAUGAAGUUGUUGAAGGCCAGACAGCGUUCUGCAAAAGCCACCGUUUAGGCCAACAAUGCCAGAUGAUUGGCUGCCCUCAGAUCCCACCAAAUGGCGUAGCUUUGUGCAUGUCCCAUGGUGGAGGCCAUCCUGGUUCCAGUGCAGUACCACUCACUGAAUCUGAAGGUUCAAUGAAGUACGAAGGAGAUGGACAAUUUAGAGUGAUGGAAAAUGCUAUGGGUAGCACAGUCAUGCCUAAUCCUGAUGGCGAAGUUGUGAUGUGCAAGUACGAAGGAUGUAGCAAACGAUCCCAGGGAAAUACUGUGUAUUGCAAGGUCCACAGUGGUGGUUCAAAGGCCUGUAUGGUUCAAGGUUGUACCAAGGGAGCACAUGGAGGCACUCCUAUGUGCAUUGCUCAUGGAGGAGGCAAGCGCUGUUCCGUUGCUGGAUGCCGCAAUGCUGCAUGCGGAAGCAGUCAAGGUCGCACUGACUGCUGCGUGAGGCACGGUGGUGGCAAGAGGUGCAAACAUGAUGGAUGUGGAAAGGGUGCUCAAGGGAACACAGAUUUUUGCAUUGGACACGGUGGGGGGAGGCGGUGCAAGUUUGAAGGAUGUGGAAAGAGUGCACAAGGGCGGAGUGAUAACUGCAUCAAACAUGGUGGUGGCAGACGCUGCAAGUUUGAAGGAUGCAGCGCCAGCGCAAAAUGGGGUGUGGAUUUCUGCUCUGCACACAGGAAGAGCAUGCUGGGUGAAGGUGAUACUGCCGAUGGAGCACCAAAGCCGAAACGUCGGGCCAAGAAGUCUGGGACGAAGAAGGCCGAGAGGGCCAAGAGGGCAAAGAAGACGGUUGAUCCAGCUGGUCCCUCCAGCGGGGAUGUUACCAUGCCCGCUGUACUUUCUGCUGACAUGCCCGAGAUGGGCGCUAUCCAUGUCGCCGCCCCCGUUUCGGACCGUCCCAAAUCACCUGAGACCGCUAUAGGGCUUCAACAGCCACCGCUUCAGCUUCAAGAACCACCGCCGCUUCAGUCCCCGGCUCCAUCUGGAUUGGCCGCCUCAGCAGAGGAAGGUCUGCCAGCAACAGGUAGUGUAUUCUUUGGUUUAUAG
rnacentral:rRNA from 1 species